GAGGACACGCUGGCGGCGUGCUUAACACAUGCAAGUCGAACGGUAAGGCCCUUCGGGUACACGAGUGGCGAACGGGUGAGUAACACGUGGGUGAUCUGCCCUGCACUUCGGGAUAAGCCUGGGAAACUGGGUCUAAUACCGGAUAGGACCAUGGACUUCACGGUUUGUGGUGGAAAGCUUUUGCGGUGUGGGAUGGGCCCGCGGCCUAUCAGCUUGUUGGUGGGGUAAUGGCCUACCAAGGCGACGACGGGUAGCCGGCCUGAGAGGGUGUCCGGCCACACUGGGACUGAGAUACGGCCCAGACUCCUACGGGAGGCAGCAGUGGGAAUAUUGCACAAUGGGCGCAAGCCUGAUGCAGCGACGCCGCGUGAGGGAUGACGGCCUUCGGGUUGUAAACCACUUUCAACAGGGACGAAGCGCAAGUGACGGUACCUAUAGAAGAAGCACCGGCCAACUACGUG
rnacentral:rRNA from 1 species